UCAGAAAAUAGCUUUGAAAAUUCAUAUAUGAGAGCAUUUUAUUAAAAUGUUUCACCUACCAAAAACUAUACCCUUUAUGGCAGAACACAGGAUUUUUCAAGUGUUCACAAGCCCUCUAAAUGCAUCUCCUAGAUUUUCCAAAUAUCUGCAUAGAAAGUCCAUUUCUUUAUUGCACUGAAAGAUCCCUUCAGGAUAUUAGACAUACAUUUCUUCCAAAAGUACAAUCACUAGUGAUUUGCCCUUUUCCAUUUUUUCACAGGUCACUUAGCAACAUAUUUAGGCUCAUAGGUAUUUGGGAAUCAGUUAAUAUUACUUAUUUGCAUGAAAUUCUUUGUAGUCACUUCUGAAGAGAAGAUUCUUGUUUCCUUUUGUUUCUCUUUAUUUUGGUAGGAGAGGAGCCUCCUUCCCUUGUGCAGGGGAGCUGUCAUUUUUGUAGUAAGCCACUGAAGGUUUCCGUUUGUCUUUAACAUACUUAAACUGAAAAUGUCACUGAAGCAGUUCAUCAAGUUGAACCAUUUAAUCAAGAAUUUGCUCUAAAUUUUCCUGGGGGUGGGGGACAGUUCCUCAUUGCCUUGUCUUCUUACCAAACUGUUUCUAACACCAUUGCCAAGUCUGCCCAUCCUGGGGAGAACACACCAUCAUCUCUAAAUGCGGCACAUCUUAUUUCUCUAUUUAGUGUUAGCUGACAGGACUGUUACUGUUCCUGUAGAUAUUAAAAAUUGGGUUCACUGAGGCAGACAUUUCCCAGUCACCAUAAAACAUCCCCCAAAGUAAAACCCCAGUUCCAUCGAUAUCCUAGUCACAGUGUCUCUAAUCUAGCGACUUAUCACUUCAACAAGGUCCUGAAAUUUUAUAUGACCCGUUUUUAGCACUCGUUCCAUUUUCCGCAGUAUUAUGUAGCCCCUGGCCGACAUCACUUGGGGGGAAGGGGCUCUCAGCACAGAACAAAGAACCGUAUUACAGGGAAGGCCAAAGUCCACAGAAAAGGCAGAGCCGCGCUGAUGCUCGCAGUCUGUCCCAGGUGAAAAGCGUAAAUAAAACAUGAUCGCUUCAGCUGUGCUCCUGUUUCCUAAGUGCCAAUCUCGUGGAGUGAGGACCCUUGCUGGGCUGGUGAAGGCGACGGUUCACGAUUUCACUGGCCUCAGGGCUAAGAAUUUAAUUUGCUUUUCCAUCAAGUUUUGAAGUGAUCCUGCUCUCCUUUUCCCAUGAGCAUAGAGAGACCAAUACAGAUGCAAAAGAGAGAACCGGUUUGUUUCCGUGUUAGCAAAUUGCUGCAGCUUAGUCUAGACAGUGGGUGAAAUUCUAGGGAGGGUCUGUUUUGUGCUAAACCAAGAAAAAAAAAAGAACGUGCUCAGAGAGUAUAGAGGAGUCAGCAGAAGUUUCAUUUCAGUAGAUCCCUGAAGGUUUCCCGAUAAAGAUGACAUUGGAACUUGGGCUUUCAAGGGAGAGCAGUUUCCAUUGAUGGCGAACAUUCGAGAAAGAGCAGCAUAAAUAUGCCAGACACCGUGGUAAACAUAUGGUUGGAUGCAGGGGCUCAUCAGAAGGUCCCUGAAGUUCCCAUGACUCCAGAAAGAAAACCCUUGGGCAUCCAGAGGGGGUACGACCAGACUCCUCAUGCUGAAGUGUCUGUCCUUGGUCUAUCAGGCAACCCUAGACCACCGGCUUCCAGAAGAGCCCACACCAGGCAUCGCUCCCGCUUGGUCCACACGAAACAAACGCACACCACUCACCCAGACGAACCCUAGGAGAGCAGGCUGCUCCCUGCAGAGCGAGCACCGCUCCGGCUCUGCCACCAGAGCAGCUGGGAGUCCUUCUCUUACUCUCUGGAACUGCCUUUGGGUUAUCAGACCCCAGUUCCCUGUGUCUCCCAGCUGCCGGGAACACAUUUCAAACCUGUCCGGUGGGCUCCCUGGAAGCGCUUGCAAAUUGAGAAUUAGAAAAAAGAAGAUUUUGUCAGCUCACAUGGUAAAGAAUCCGCCUGCAACUCAGGAGACCUGGGUUCGAUCCUGGGUUGGGAAGAUCCCCUGGAGAAGGAAAUGGC
ensembl:lncRNA